GUUACAGUCACUUGUGGAAAUUUGUUACGGCCAAUGCAUGAAAUUACGUUUUCAACUGAUGACAAGCCCAAGCUCCUCAGCCAGUUAACUUCAUUACUAGCCGAGCUUGGGCUGAACAUCCAGGAAGCACAUGUAUUUUCCUCAAUUGAUGGCUACUCCCUAGAUGUUUUCGUUGUUGAUGGUUGGCCCUAUGAGGAAAUUGAGCAGCUUCGAAUGGCACUGAAAAGGGAAAUUCUGAAGAUUGAGAAGUCUUCACCUAGUCAAAGUCCAUCAGAAUCUUUUAGAAAGGAGGACAAAACACUCAUCAAAUGUGAACUUGAUCCUGUGACAAUACCUUGUGAUGGUGUUGAUGUCUGGGAAAUUGAUCAUCAGCUUCUCAACUUUGGCAACAAGAUUGCUUCUGG
rnacentral:misc_RNA from 1 species